rnacentral:rRNA from 1 species
GACGAACGCUGGCGGCGUGCCUAAUACAUGCAAGUAGAACGCUGAAGGAGGAGCUUGCUUCUCUGGAUGAGUUGCGAACGGGUGAGUAACGCGUAGGUAACCUGCCUGGUAGCGGGGGAUAACUAUUGGAAACGAUAGCUAAUACCGCAUAAGAGUAGAUGUUGCAUGACAUUUGCUUAAAAGGUGCAAUUGCAUCACUACCAGAUGGGCCUGCGUUGUAUUAGCUAGUUGGUGGGGUAACGGCUCACCAAGGCGACGAUACAUAGCCGACCUGAGAGGGUGAUCGGCCACACUGGGACUGAGACACGGCCCAGACUCCUACGGGAGGCAGCAGUAGGGAAUCUUCGGCAAUGGACGGAAGUCUGACCGAGCAACGCCGCGUGAGUGAAGAAGGUUUUCGGAUCGUAAAGCUCUGUUGUAAGAGAAGAACGAGUGUGAGAGUGGAAAGUUCACACUGUGACGGUAUCUUACCAGAAAGGGACGGCUAACUACGUG